CUCAAGUGAAAGUGAAAAAAACGUCUCUUGGAGGUAAAUUAAGAGGGUUUUUUUUUUAAGCGAUCCUGGAAUCAGGUUUGUGGGUGACUGUGGCUCUCGGGUGCUCAUUUGCAGCAAAGGAGGAAAGGCAGAUGAUUGCGUAAAGGUAUGAAAACACAGCACCGGCACAGAAGAGGAAAGUACGAGAGGAAAACAACCAAAACAACCGAGGAUAGUAAAUAAUAGGGCAGAGCCGGCUGUGCAGUUCCUUGAGGACGGGAACUCUUCUGUGUUAACCAUUAAUACUACAGUGUACCAGAAUACGCCGUGCCAAAAUAUGCCAAUUUGGCAUAUGCAUAAUUGUGGGCUAAAGGCAAUUGAGAACCAGAAGAUGCAGAAAAGCUACUCCCAAAGACAACUCUUAUCACUUGAGAGACUCUUAUCUGCAUAAGAAGAUAAACCUUAUUUACCAUAUAUUUCCUCCCCUCAAUAGCCCAUAAUUUGCUUCCUCCUCCCAGAAGCUCGAAAUCCCUUUUCCUCUUUUUCACCUAAGAUGAUGAACUGCGUUGAAAACGUGUUUUUAGACUACCUAAUCCUGGUUUUUCAACCAAGCAGAGCCAUUCAGCCAACCCCACUUUUGCUAGGUUAGCAAGGUUAUUAAGAACUGAAGCAAACCUGAUCAACUGGAUUUUGAGUCCCGAGCCUAGUUGGCCAAGGAGAGUAGACAGAUGUUCCUGAUAGAGUCGAAGAAUAUGUAGGCAACUGAUCCAAUACAGAUUCAAAGUGUUGGGAUAUUGGAGUGUAAAUUGCCUCAGAUUUGUGGUCAGGAUAACACAAGUUUGAAUCUUGGUUCUCUUGUGCAGACUUUGAACAAAUCACUCAAUUUCCCUACAAUUCCUUUUCCUGUGAUUUUUGAAUGAAACACCCUAUUUCUCUCCGAUUUGACUUCUUGUAAAAAAUUGGAAUAUAAAAUUAUUGUGAAAA